rnacentral:rRNA from 1 species
UACGUAGGUGGCAAGCGUUAUCCGGAUUUAUUGGGUGUAAAGGGCGUGUAGGCGGGAAAGCAAGUCAGAUGUGAAAACUCAGGGCUCAACCCUGAGCCUGCAUUUGAAACUGUUUUUCUCGAGUGCUGGAGAGGCAAUCGGAAUUCCGUGUGUAGCGGUGAAAUGCGUAGAUAUACGGAGGAACACCAGUGGCGAAGGCGGAUUGCUGGACAGUAACUGACGCUGAGGCGCGAAAGCGUGGGGAGCAAACAGG